GAUGAACGCUGGCGGCGUGCCUAAUACAUGCAAGUCGAGCGAACGGACGAGGAGCUUGCUCCUCUGACGUUAGCGGCGGACGGGUGAGUAACACGUGGAUAACCUACCUAUAAGACUGGGAUAACUUCGGGAAACCGGAGCUAAUACCGGAUAAUAUAUUGAACCGCAUGGUUCAAUAGUGAAAGACGGUUUUGCUGUCACUUAUAGAUGGAUCCGCGCCGCAUUAGCUAGUUGGUAAGGUAACGGCUUACCAAGGCAACGAUGCGUAGCCGACCUGAGAGGGUGAUCGGCCACACUGGAACUGAGACACGGUCCAGACUCCUACGGGAGGCAGCAGUAGGGAAUCUUCCGCAAUGGGCGAAAGCCUGACGGAGCAACGCCGCGUGAGAGAUGAAGGUCUUCGGAUCGUAAAACUCUGUUAUUAGGGAAGAACAAAUGUGUAAGUAACUAUGCACGUCUUGACGGUACCUAAUCAGAAAGCCACGGCUAACUACGUG
rnacentral:rRNA from 1 species